rnacentral:rRNA from 1 species
UGAGUACGAGCUGCUACGGCAGCGAAGUGGGUGAUGUCAAGCUUUCAAGAAAAGCCCUAUACCCGUUAAGGCAUGAUGGCCUGUACCCGAAACCGACACAGGUGGGGUGGUAGAGAAUACCGAGGGGCGCGAGAUAACUCUCUCUAAGGAACUCGGCAAAAUGGCCCCGUAACUUCGGGAGAAGGGGUGCCACCGCAAGGUGGUCGCAGUGAAGAGGCCCAGGCGACUGUUUACCAAAAACACAGGUCUCCGCUAAGUCGCAAGACGAUGUAUGGGGGCUGAGGCCUGCCCAGUGCCGGAAGGUUAAGGAAGCUGGUCAGCGUAAGCGAAGCUAGCGACUGAAGCCCCGGUGAACGGCGGCCGUAACAAUAACGGUCCUAAGGUAGCGAAAUUCCUUGUCGGGUAAGUUCCGACCCGCACGAAAGGCGUAACGAUCUGGGCGCUGUCUCGGAGAGAGGCUCGGCGAAAUAGAAUUGUCUGUGAAGAUGCGGACUACGUGCACCCGGACAGAAAGACCCUAUGAAGCUUUACUGUAGCUUGGUAUUGUGCUCGGGCUCGGAAUGCGCAGGAUAGGUGGGAGGCUAUGAACCAUUGCUUGUGGGUGAUGGUGAGCCACUGGUGAGAUACCACUCUUUCCGAGCUAGAGUUCUAACAGCCACCCGUUAUCCGGGGGCUGGACAGUACCAGGUGGGCAGUUUGACUGGGGCGGUCGCCUCCUAAAAGGUAACGGAGGCGCGCAAAGGUUUGCUCAGGCUGGUUGGAAAUCAGCCGACGAGUGUAAAAGCAGAAGCAAGCUUGACUGUGAGACCUACAAGUCGAACAGGGAGGAAACUCGGCUUUAGUGAUCCGACGGUUCUGCGUGGAAGGGCCGUCGCUCAACGGAUAAAAGUUACUCUAAGGAUAACAGGCUGAUCUCCCCCAAGAGUUCACAUCGACGGGGAGGUUUGGCACCUCGAUGUCGGCUCAUCGCAACCUGGGGCUGAAGUCGGUCCCAAGGGUUGGGCUGUUCGCCCAUUAAAGCGGUACGCGAGCUGGGUUCAGAACGUCGUGAGACAGUUCGGUCCAUAUCCGGUGCAUGCGCAGGAAUAUUGAGAGGAUUUCUCCCUAGUACGAGAGGACCGGGAGGAACGCACCUCUGGUGUACCAGUUAUCGUGCCAACGGUAAACGCUGGGUAGCCAUGUGCGGAGAGGAUAACCGCUGAAAGCAUCUAAGUGGGAAGCCCACCUCAAGAUGAGUAUUCCCAUGGGGUAACCCAGUAAGGUCACGGGAAGAACACCCGUUGAUAGGCUCUACGUGGAAGCGCAGUAAUGUGUGAAGCGGAGGAGUAUUAAUAGACCGAGGGCUUGAUA